UACAGAGGGUGCAAGCGUUGCUCGGAAUCAUUGGGCGUAAAGGGUAAGUAGGUGGUCUCGUUUGUCUGGGGUGAAAGCCCAGGGCUUAACCCUGGAAGUGCCCCAGAAACGGCGAGACUAGAGUCUUGGAGAGGGUCGUGGAAUUCCCGGUGUAGUGGUGAAAUGCGUAGAUAUCGGGAGGAACACCAGUGGCGAAGGCGACUACCUGGCCUGUUCCUGACGCUGAGGCGCGAAAGCUAGGGGAGCGAACAGG
rnacentral:rRNA from 1 species